AAUGGCCUAACGGCUGAACCAGCAACUUGGAGGAAUGUAUAGCAAUUGCUAAUUGUAUCAAUACAAGAUUGGUACAAUAUCGACUUAGUCGAAUAAAAUUCUGGGUAAAACUAUGAUAAUGACAUUAUUUACUUAUGUGUCUUGACCAAAUUACGUGCCAGCAGUCGCGGUAAUACGUAGAAGACUAGUGUUAUUCAUCUUUAAUAGGUUUAAAGGGUACCUAGACGGUAAAUAAAGCCUUAGCUGGGACUGAUUUGCUAGAGUUAAAUGUGAGGGAGUUUUAAUGUACUAGAGGUGAAGAGAUGAAAUUCUGUCAUACCUUUUUUCUUUAGAAAAAACUUGGCACAGGUAUAGGUGAAAACAUCUCCUUAUGUAAUAACUGACGUUGAGGGACGAAGGCUUUUUAUCGCGAACAGGAUUAGAUACCCUGGUAGUCAAAGCAGAAAAUGAUGAGUGUCAUAGAUUAGAUAACUAUUUAUUCUAUAAAUGAAAGUGUAAGCACUCCACCUCAAGAGUAAUUUGGCAACAUUGGAACUGAAAUCAUUAGACCGUUUCUGAAACCAGUAGUGAAGUAUGUUAUUUAAUUUGAUAAUCCGCAAAGAACCUUACCACAACUUGAAUGUUUAUGUUUAUUCUUUAAGAGAAACGUAGAUACAAGCGUUGCACGGCUGUCUUCAGUUAAUGUCGUGAGACUAUGGUUAGCUCCAUUAAAUUAACGUAAACCCUUGCUUUAUUUUUAAAUAAAGUAGUUCUCCACUAUAUUGGAUAAGAUAACAGGGACUAAGACAAGUCAUCAUGGCCUGAAUGUUGUGGGCUAUAGACGUGCCACGUGAGCCUUUACAAAAGGAUGUGAAAUUGUGAAAUUGAGCUAAUCCCCCAAAACUGGCUAUACACUGUCAAU
rnacentral:rRNA from 1 species